rnacentral:lncRNA from 1 species
AUGGAAUAAAACUAAAUGAAGGGGGAAAGGGAAAGAUUUUGCAAUAAUGGGGAAAUUUUGGUUUUGAUUAUUAGUGUAAUGUGCUGUAUUUUUUGUUUUGAGUAAGUUGAUUGGAAAAAAGGUUUUGGGAUUUUGCAAAACCAUUUUAGUCAAAUGCAUCUAGUGGGAGCAAUCAUAUAUUUGGCUUCCUUAUGGUUCUAGCCUUAUGGUUCUAGACCUUUUGUUUCUUUGUCGGGAUCUCUAUCUAUAGUGUGAUGGAAAGAUCUCUUUGGCUAAGAAGUUUUUCUAUGGAUUUCUACUAUUUUGCAAUUUUGUGAAGGACAUCUAAUCCUCUAAUACUGUACUUCUUGCAUUCUUAUUUAUAAUCUCUCUUCAAAGAGAAGAAAAAAGAGAGACUGCCAUGCUCUUUAGUUGAGUGUUGGACUGUUAUGUCAAAAUACCAUAAGAUGAAUAUAGCCAAAAAUGAAGAAAGAAUGCUAAGAUGGAUGUUUAGUCAUGUGAUAAGAAACAAGAAUAUACACCUGCAAGGGAAAGGAUUCAGAGGAUAAUUUCGCUGGUGAGCUACUUAGAUGGUUGGAACAUGUUUGUGUAGACAUAAACAGACUCCUCGAUGGUACAAUUUCGACUUAACAAGUUCAAAGAGGGAGGAGUAGACCAAUACUAACAUGCUUCUAUUUAUUCUACUUUUCCCAACAUUCAUUUAUUGUUUUCCCCUCAUUUUUCAAUUAAUAUAUUUAUUUUUAGUGUCAAUAGCUAAAUAUAUGAAUAAUUUAAGUAGUAGAACAUCGAAAUUUGCAAUUUUAUCAAAUGAAAUCUUGAAAAAU